UUUGGCAGCACAUAUACUAAAAUUGUAAUGAAAAUAGUAAUGAUACAGAGAAGAUUAACAUGGCCCCUAUGCAAGGAAGACAUGCAAAUAUAUGAAGCGUUUCAUAUUAAA